AACAAUAGGGGUGCCUCAAUACACGGGCUGAGAUUAGACCCUCUGAACCUGAUGCGGAUAAUGCCGUCGUAGGAAAAAGAGAA
rnacentral:ncRNA from 1 species